rnacentral:misc_RNA from 1 species
UCUCCGUAGGUGAACCUGCGGAGGGAUCAUUACAGAGUUCAUGCCCUACCGGGUAGAUCUCCCACCCUAUGUUAUUAUUACUUUGUUGCUUUGGCGGGCCGUUAGUCUCCGGCCCGACUACCGGCCCCGGAUGGUAAGCGCAAGCCAGAGGACCCAAAACCCUGAAUAUUAGUGUCGUCUGAGUACUAUAUAAUAGUUAAAACUUUCAACAACGGAUCUCUUGGUUCUG